AGCAAUGUAUUAAUGGGGACUACUCGGUGUUACUUUCAUUCCUUGUAAAUCAUGUAAUGGGUGGCCCUUUAUCUUAGACUAGGUUGUAUUUUGUAAUAUCUUAUGCCCAAGUUUUUACUGUAUUUAAUUUAAUAAUAGUUUUUUUUUCUUUUCCAAAAAAAAUAUUCUUGUUACACAUGUCUCAUUAAUUUGUAGGAUUUCACUGGUCUAAAACAUUUUUUUUAUAAAGUGAAGAACAUCUGCACAUUAAGAAAUAAAGCAGGCUUCGCCCAUCUAAAACAUGUUUUAAUAUUUAUAAAGAGAUGGAAUCAAUAUUUAUUUGAGUUAAUAUAUUCACAUAAAUUUUGUUAGUCUGUUUAGAAAAAUUUGUAAAAACAAC
rnacentral:lncRNA from 1 species